GCCCAAAGGUGAAUUUCUUGGG
rnacentral:miRNA from 8 species